UUUUAAGAAAGGGAAAUUUCAUAAAUUUAGUUUGUUUCAAUUUCUUCAUUAAAAGUUAUCGAAAUCGAAAUACGAUGUUCAAGAUUUUUCAAAGGUCUUGAAUGUUUGACAUUUAGAGUAAGCUGCCACGUGUGCUACAUGAGGAGAUUAGUGAGCUAUUUUCACUUCCCCUCUCAAAGGAAACAGUGUUGGAAGGAUGUUGAGUUUGGAACGCAACUCAACAAAUCUUCCUUCUGUCAAUCACUUCGUUAAACCAUCCACAAGCUGUUUUUCUGAAGGAACAAAGCAAACAUCUAUUUCUUUGUCUAUGAUCAUAUCUCAUACGAAAUGAACAUCCAGCUCAACAUGCUUGCUUCUUGAAUGGAAGUCUGGAUUAGCUGCCAAGGAGAGAGCACUUAUAUUAUCACACCAAAUUAUAGGGAUCGAUAUUCUACUUCCGAACUGAAGCGUGCUACAACAUGUUGUUUCUUUACUGAAGACACAAUAAGCUGAAAUUAAUCAUCUAUCAUCAAGGUCGCAUCCCCAAUCUACAUCUGAGUAGCUUGUAAUCUGCAAAUUACUAUAUUUGGGUAUGUGAAGUUCAUGACUAUUAGUACCUUUUAAAUAUCUCAAUACUCUAUUCACUGCCUUCCAUUGUGUGAUAGUUGGAUGUUGUAGAAAUUGAUUGAGUUUGUUGAUUAUGUAUAAGAUUUCUAGCCUCUUAUGAGUAAUAUAUUGUAAAG